ACGCCUCCUGAGUGGAUGAACUUGGUGGCCCGCAGGAGCUGGUACAUGAUGAAGCGCUUGUGGACGUCCUUCAGCAGCCUGCCCUUACAGAUGACGGCGUUCAGGUCAGUGUCUGGGGGAGCACGCAGGUCAGUCUGGGGGGCCUGGGGACACUGGACAAGUCUGCCCCACCUUUGACCCUUGUGGGGGUGCUCAGCCCUCCCCUGGUCGCGGACCCCAGGUGGCACCGGCCACCCUCAGAGCCCUGUUCCUAACCCUGUCCUGGCUACACACGCUUCCCAGUGGCUCUAGCAGGCUUCUUCAGGCCUGCUCUGUCUUUGUCAGCACAGCAAUAACAGUUUCUGGGGUGAUUUUUAAUACUUUGUUUCACGUUGCUUUGUUUUAUAACAUGGGUAGAAAAAGGAAAAACAGUUGCAAACAGUGGAAAAAGCAGGAGCCUCACGGAGGUGGGCUCGAGGGGUCACUGCCAGGCCCAGGCGCUGACCAUGCACCAGCCACACCAAGAAACUGUUCUGGGUGACAACUGACCACUGUGGUGACCCGGCCGCAGAGGGACAUGUAAAGGGAUCCAGGCCACUGGAGGGUCCUGGACCAGGACUGAGGUGAGGCUGGAGGGUGAGAAGGCGUCACUUACCCAUAGACUCAAACACCAGGUAAAUGUCCCUGUCGUUCUCCGCCCGGAUCACGUCCA
rnacentral:lncRNA from 1 species